rnacentral:rRNA from 1 species
GGCUCGAGUGGUGGCCGAUAUUAUUGAGUCUAAAGGGUCCGUAGCCGGCUUUGCAAGUCCCCUGGGAAAUCCAGCGGCUUAACCGUUGGGCUUCCAUGGGAUACUACAUUGCUUGGGACUGGGAGAGGUAGGAGGUACUCGGGGGGUAGGGGUGAAAUCCUGUAAUCCUCCGGGGACCACCGGUGGCGAAGGCGUCCUACCAGAACAGGUCCGACGGUGAGGGACGAAAGCUAGGGGCACGAACCGGAUUAGAUACCCGGGUAGUCCUAGCCGUAAACGAUGCCCGCUAGGUGUCACGACGGUCGUGAAUCGUCGUGGUGCCGUAGGGAAGCCGCGAAGCGGGCCACUUGGGAAGUACGACCGCAAGGUUGAAACUUAAAGGAAUUGGCGGGGGAGCACCACAACGGGUGGAGCCUGCGGUUUAAUUGGAUUCAACGCCGGGAAGCUUACCGGGAUCGACAGUUGUAUGAAGGCCAGGCUGAAGACCUUGCCGGACUAGCUGAGAGGAAGUGCAUGGCC